AAAUAUGAAGUAAAUUAUACAUUCUAAAUUCGAAAUAGACAAUUGGUUAAAUAACCCAUAUUUA
rnacentral:tRNA from 1 species